rfam:Lingula anatina scaffold136, whole genome shotgun sequence.
GCCUGCGUAGCUCAGUGGUUUAGAGCAAAAGUUUUCUAAUCUUUGGGUCGGGGGUUCGAUUCCCUCCGUGGGCU